CCCUUAGAUGUUCUGGGCCGCACGCGUGCUACACUGAGUGGAUCAGCGGGUCAGGUUGCGCGAAAGUGUUUCCUAAUCUUGAAAUCCGCUCGUGAUGGGGAUUGACGGUUGCAAUUUUCCGUCAUGAACGAGGAAUACCUUGUAAGCGCGGGUCAUCAUCCCGCGCUGAAUAUGUCCCUGCCCUUUGUACACACCGCCCGUCGCUCCUACCGAUUGAGUGGUCCGGUGAGGCUUUGGGAUCUGAGCAAAGAGAGCGUUUCGCUCGUUUUGCCCGGAAAACUCAGUCGAACCUUAUCAUUUAGAGGAAGGAGAAGUCGUAACA
rnacentral:rRNA from 1 species